GUGGGGAUAUUGGUGGGAAGGAACAAUCUAUUUUGUUUUCAAGCAUUUAAGUAACAACAUGCAAACAUGUUAGCAUAAUAAACCAUUAAUAGAUAAAACAAUUUUAUCCCAAUAUGAUCGUUUGUAGAUCUUCUUCAAUUGUGUUACUCCUUCAAAAACUUUGGUGCUCCAAUUAAUUCCUACCUCUUCUACCAUUUUUUUCUUCUCUUGUUCUGUAUUCAACUUUCUGUAUUUUCUCCUUGUGAUUGUUAUGUAUUCAACUUUAUGUAUCCAAUGAAUUCCUCGGAGCAUGAUCAUAACAUUGUUGAUAGCAACUCCAGACCUUGUCCCCGGCCACCACCAAUCUC
rnacentral:lncRNA from 1 species